rnacentral:tRNA from 1 species
AAGGCUUUAAGUUCAAAAAAAAACUAAUAACCUUCAAAGCUAUAAAUAAAGAAUGUAAUCUUUAAGCCUUA